UGAGGAAUAUUGCACAAUGGGCGAAAGCCUGAUGCAGCAACGCCGCGUGAGGGACGAAGGCCUUCGGGUCGUAAACCUCUUUUCUGGGGGACGAGUAAGGACGGUACCUCAGGAAUAAGUCUCGGCUAACUACGUGCCAGCAGCCGCGGUAAAACGUAGGAGGCUAGCGUUAUCCGGAUUUACUGGGCGUAAAGCGUACGCAGGUGGCUUCGUGAGUCGGACAUGAAAGCUCCCGGCUUAACUGGGAGAGGUUGUUCGAUACUGCGGGGCUUGAGGUUGGGAGAGGGACGUGGAAUUCCCGGUGUAGUGGUGGAAUGCGUAGAUAUCGGGAGGAACACCAGUGGCGCAAGCGGCGUCCUGGCCCACACCUGACGCUGAGGUACGAAAGCGUGGGUAGCAAACAG
rnacentral:rRNA from 1 species